UACGUAGGGUGCGAGCGCUGUCCGGAAUUAUUGGGCGUAAAGCGCGCGCAGGUGGCUAUGUAAGUCUGAUGUUAAAGCCCGAGGCUCAACCUCGGUUCGCAUUGGAAACUGUGUAGCUUGAGUACAGGAGAGGAAAGUGGUAUUCCACGUGUAGCGGUGAAAUGCGUAGAGAUGUGGAGGAACACCAGUGGCGAAGGCGACUUUCUGGCCUGUAACUGACACUGAGGCGCGAAAGCGUGGGGAGCAAACAGG
rnacentral:rRNA from 1 species